AUUGAACGCUGGCGGCAUGCCUUACACAUGCAAGUCGAACGGUAACAGGUCUUCGGAUGCUGACGAGUGGCGAACGGGUGAGUAAUACAUCGGAACAUGCCUAGUAGUGGGGGAUAACUACUCGAAAGAGUGGCUAAUACCGCAUGAGAUCUACGGAUGAAAGCAGGGGAUCGCAAGACCUUGUGCUACUAGAGCGGCCGAUGGCAGAUUAGGUAGUUGGUGGGAUAAAAGCUUACCAAGCCGACGAUCUGUAGCUGGUCUGAGAGGACGAUCAGCCACACUGGGACGGGGAAACGGCCCAGACUCCUACGGGAGGCAGCAGUGGGGAAUUUUGGACAAUGGGCGCAAGCCUGAUCCAGCAAUGCCGCGUGCAGGAUGAAGGCCUUCGGGUUGUAAACUGCUUUUGUACGGAACGAAAAGCCCCGGGUUAAUACCCUGGGGUCAUGACGGUACCGUAAGAAUAAGCACCGGCUAACUACGUGCCAGCCGCCGCCGUAA
rnacentral:rRNA from 1 species